ACUUUCAAAAAUAAACAAGGAACAAAAGAAAGUAUUAGUCAGAGAGAAAUGAACUUGCGCAUCAUGUUGCUUCAAUCUCAUCCAACUACAAACUAGAGUAUUAUGCUAUAACCACUUGAAAGCUUCUCAGACUGGUUCUAGCAUGCCAACUAGUCAUUUUGAAGGCAAAUGAUAGAGAAUUUAUGGGAAACUGUAACUCACUGUUGUGCAAUGAAGGAGAAGAUAGAGUCAUUUUGAAGGCCAGUGACAGAGAGUUUCCGCAAAGAGCCAGAGCUUCUAUUGAUCAACACCUGAAGCAUUCGAUCGAGAUGAUCGGACUGGUGGCAACGGUUACUCCACAGCUCAAUGUCUAUCUCUUGCCAGCAAUAAGGUCCAGUUACAGCUCUGUUCCAUGCUUUGCAAACCCUAGGCACAACUGUUAGGACCUCUUGAAGAGGUAAGUGGCUAAAUAUUAAGCCAAGAGCGUCAGGGAUAAGCUCAUCCCAGUUUCGCAACUUGCAAUCUUCUUCCAUCCUACAAAAAAAAAAAAAAACAAUACAUGAAUGAUAGUUUAUACUUUAGAUAAACACAAGUCUUCAAAGUCUUGUAUUUGAGAAUCACAA